AAUGUUUAAAAAUUGAAGAAGCUUUAUCCAAAGCUCCACAAACUUCUGACACAAUCAUAUACAAAUAUGAAAAAGCAUUUUAAAAAUUUAUGAAAAAUGGGCUAGAAAUAAGCAAAAUGGCUUCUAUGAUUUAUGGAGUUAGUCAGAAUAAGAAAAGAGGAAUAGGAUACGACUCUGAUGAAGACGAGUAAAUACCUUCUGCAGAUGAUAAACCUAAAUCUCC
rnacentral:lncRNA from 1 species